GGGAUUGUGGCUCAGUGGUAGAGCACUCACCUGGCACGUGUGAGACCCUGGGUUCGAUCCUAUGCACCA
rnacentral:tRNA from 1 species